UAGAGUUUGAUCCUGGCUCAGGACGAACGCUGGCGGCGUGCCUAAUACAUGCAAGUUGAGCGCUGAAGGUUGGUACUUGUACCGACUGGAUGAGCAGCGAACGGGUGAGUAACGCGUGGGGAAUCUGCCUUUGAGCGGGGGACAACAUUUGGAAACGAAUGCUAAUACCGCAUAAAAACUUUAAACACAAGUUUUAAGUUUGAAAGAUGCAAUUGCAUCACUCAAAGAUGAUCCCGCGUUGUAUUAGCUAGUUGGUGAGGUAAAGGCUCACCAAGGCGAUGAUACAUAGCCGACCUGAGAGGGUGAUCGGCCACAUUGGGACUGAGACACGGCCCAAACUCCUACGGGAGGCAGCAGUAGGGAAUCUUCGGCAAUGGACGAAAGUCUGACCGAGCAACGCCGCGUGAGUGAAGAAGGUUUUCGGAUCGUAAAACUCUGUUGGUAGAGAAGAACGUUGGUGAGAGUGGAAAGCUCAUCAAGUGACGGUAACUACCCAGAAAGGGACGGCUAACUACGUGCCAGCAGCCGCGGUAAUACGUAGGUCCCGAGCGUUGUCCGGAUUUAUUGGGCGUAAAGCGAGCGCAGGUGGUUUAUUAAGUCUGGUGUAAAAGGCAGUGGCUCAACCAUUGUAUGCAUUGGAAACUGGUAGACUUGAGUGCAGGAGAGGAGAGUGGAAUUCCAUGUGUAGCGGUGAAAUGCGUAGAUAUAUGGAGGAACACCGGUGGCGAAAGCGGCUCUCUGGCCUGUAACUGACACUGAGGCUCGAAAGCGUGGGGAGCAAACAGGAUUAGAUACCCUGGUAGUCCACGCCGUAAACGAUGAGUGCUAGAUGUAGGGAGCUAUAAGUUCUCUGUAUCGCAGCUAACGCAAUAAGCACUCCGCCUGGGGAGUACGACCGCAAGGUUGGAACUCAAAGGAAUUGAC
rnacentral:rRNA from 1 species